rnacentral:rRNA from 1 species
UACGGGAGGCAGCAGUGGGGAAUAUUGCACAAUGGGGGAAACCCUGAUGCAGCAACGCCGCGUGAGUGAUGAAGGUUUUCGGAUCGUAAAACUCUGUCCUUGGGGGAGAUAAUGACGGUACCCAAGGAGGAAGCCACGGCUAACUACGUGCCAGCAGCC